ACACUUACCUGACAUGGAUAUACCAUGAUUGAUCAUGAAGGUGGUUUUCCCAGGGUUAGGUAUAUUCAUUGUGGUUGGAUGUGCUGACCCCUGAAAUUUUCCCAAAUGAGGGAAACUUGACUGCAUAAUUUAUGGUAAUGGAGGACUCGAUCCAAGUUCUCCC